UACGGAGGGGGCAAGCGUUGUUCGGAAUUACUGAGCGUAAAGGGCGCGCAGGCGGCUGCUCAAGUCAGGCGUGAAAGGCCUGGGCUCAACCCGGGAAUUGCGCUUGAGACUGGGCUGGCUUGAGUGCGGGAGAGGAUGGUGGAAUUCCCAGUGUAGAGGUGAAAUUCGUAGAUAUGGGGAGGAACACCGGUGGCGAAGGCGGCCACCUGGACGGUAACUGACGCUGAGACGCGAAAGCGUGGGGAGCAAACAGG
rnacentral:rRNA from 1 species